rnacentral:rRNA from 1 species
UGGGGAAUUUUGGACAAUGGGGGAAACCCUGAUCCAGCCAUUCCGCGUGUGCGAUGAAGGCCUUCGGGUUGUAAAGCACUUUUGGCAGGAAAGAAAUCGCGCAAAUUAAUACUUUGCGUGGAUGACGGUACCUGCAGAAUAAGCACCGGCUAACUACGUGCCAGCAGCCGCGGUAAUACGUAGGGUGCAAGCGUUAAUCGGAAUUACUGGGCGUAAAGCGUGCGCAGGCGGUUCGGAAAGAGAGGUGUGAAAUCCCAGGGCUUAACCUUGGAACUGCACUUUUAACUCCCGAGCUAGAGUAUGUCAGAGGGGGGUGGAAUUCCGCGUGUAGCAGUGAAAUGCGUAGAUAUGCGGAGGAACACCGAUGGCGAAGGCAGCCCCCUGGGAUAAUACUGACGCUCAUGCACGAAAGCGUGGGGAGCAAA